GAUGAACGCUGGCGGCGUGCCUAAUACAUGCAAGUCGAGCGAACGGACGAGAAGCUUGCUUCUCUGAUGUUAGCGGCGGACGGGUGAGUAACACGUAGAUAACCUACCUAUAAGACUGGGAUAACUUCGGGAAACCGGAGCUAAUACCGGAUGAUAUUUUGAACCGCAUGGUUCAAAAGUGAAAGACGGUCUUGCUGUCACUUAUAGAUGGAUCCGCGCUGCAUUAGCUAGUUGGUAAGGUAACGGCUUACCAAGGCAACGAUGCAUAGCCGACCUGAGAGGGUGAUCGGCCACACUGGAACUCAGACACGGUCCAGACUCCUACGGGAGGCAGCAGUAGGGAAUCUUCCGCAAUGGGCGAAAGCCUGACGGAGCAACGCCGCGUGAGUGAUGAAGGUCUUCGGAUCGUAAAACUCUGUUAUUAGGGAAGAACAUAUGUGUAAGUAACUGUGCACAUCUUGACGGUACCUAAUCAGAAAGCCACGGCUAACUACGUG
rnacentral:rRNA from 1 species